ACCCUAUAGUGAACAUAUCUUUUAGUUUGAAAUGACAGUGGACGUUUAGCCGGCGAACGUUGCAAAAACACCGUUACAGAGUUAACUCGUCUAAUGUUAGCGUUACCCGAUGUUUCCCUGCUUGUCCCGUCAAUUUAAUCUAACUCGGUGAAUUACACCUGAUUUAUUUCGACCAAACCAGACCUAGUGAUUGUUGAAACGAUGAAAAGACAAAUCAAGAUGGUUAAUGUCAGGGCAACCCAGGCAGACAUUGAGGCACAGCAGGUGAUACCAGACACACCCAGGCUCAUUAUUCUUGGACAUUCAAUUAUGACAGCAUCCAGGUGAAUGCUAUCCAUUGAGGGAAACGUUCUCUUGACACUGGACAGCAGUGACAAAUUUAUAACCACCUUUGCAGUGCUGUUUGCAAGCUACUACAUUUCAACAUCGAGUACCAGGAGUCUGCUGCUUGUACUUUAGAGCUUGUUCAGAG